UACGUAGGGUGCGAGCGUUGUCCGGAAUUAUUGGGCGUAAAGAGCUCGUAGGCGGUCUGUCGCGUCGGCUGUGAAAACUCGGGGCUCAACCCCGAGCCUGCAGUCGAUACGGGCGGGCUAGAGUUCGGCAGGGGAGACUGGAAUUCCUGGUGUAGCGGUGGAAUGCGCAGAGUAUCAGGAGGAACACCGGUGGCGAAGGCGGGUCUCUGGGCCGAUACUGACACUGGAGAAGCGAAAGCGUGGGAGCGAACAGG
rnacentral:rRNA from 1 species